CUGCAGCCUCAGGCAGCGCUGCCCAGUGCCAGAGGAAGAUGAAGGUGGCUGUGCUCGGCGUGGCCCUGCUCUUCUCCAUGCUGCUGUGCACCCCGGCACAGGCCAAGGCACUCCUGGAAGGAACCCAGGAUGAUCUGGAGGAGCUGGACUUGGGCAAGGUCGAGAUCCCGGAGCCGACCGUGGACGUGCUGGGAAAAGACCUGAGGCUGCGCCGGCUCCUGCGGCAGAAGCGCCUGGCGGCCUCUCUGGAUGCCUAGGGUCGGCAGCGUCGGUGCCGUCCGUGUCCUGUCCUCCUCCGGCGGCACGAGGAGAUGAUCGUCCCUGGAGGAGCCCCCCGAUCCCCUUUGAGCCCGGGGCCGUUUCCCCUCAAUAAUCAAUAAACCCUUUCAGCAGA